ensembl:lncRNA
CACCUGCAAGUCUUAUGAGAGGCAUCCAGAGGCAACUUGAUGGGGCCUGAGGAGUGGAUCCCAUGGCUACUAGGCUCAGCCAUAGACAAGAGCCCAGACCUGAAUCCAGCAUACUCACCGUUUGUAUUUGGAGGAACACGUGGCUGGAACGGAUUCUGGAAUCAUCCUUUGAUACCUAAAAUGGGUGUGCAAGUUGACAGUGGACAAGAAGGCGUCUGGGAUUGAUGGAUCAGAUGAUGGGUCUGUGAAGACAAUGAAGCCAGGAAUUCCCAGUGAGCCCAGCCAGCCAUGCCUGAUCCAUCAAGGGAGGCACAACAUGCAAACCAAUAAAGAUCUUUCUACACAAUUGAAAGAGAAGAAGGAAUCACAGGAGAACGCCGUGUGCACAGGUCGGCC